UACGAAGGGGCUAGCGUUGCUCGGAAUCACUGGGCGUAAAGCGCACGUAGGCGGAUUGUUAAGUCGGGGUGAAAUCCUGGAGCUCAACUCCAGAACUGCCUUCGAUACUGGCGAUCUUGAGUCCGGGAGAGGUGAGUGGAACUCCGAGUGUAGAGGUGAAAUUCGUAGAUAUUCGCAAGAACACCAGUGGCGAAGGCGGCUCACUGGCCCGGUACUGACGCUGAGGUGCGAAAGCGUGGGAGCAAACAGG
rnacentral:rRNA from 1 species